rnacentral:lncRNA from 1 species
AGCCCCGGGAAAAAGAUUUGAUAAUCACUGAAACCCUGUGGGAGCAGCUUCAAGAAGAUGCUCGGACUCGAGGCAUGAGCAACCGCACUGUGACAUUCAUACCACCUGUACUCCCCAGAACUGGGCAUGAACCUGCCUAAACCAAGAACUGGAAAAGAAGCUUCACGCCUCCAGAUCUCUCUACAUCCCAAAAUAAGAAUCACAGCUCAAAUUCUGGAGAGUAGUCAUCGGAAGCCCAUUCCUACACACCCAAGGAUACAACCCCGUGACCAGCCAGCCUUCUACCCUAGACUCUAAACUUUGUCAUCAUGAAAUGUCUCCAGUGUUUCUUCCAGGGCCUGGCUCAGUUACCUGAUACUCAAAGGCUAUGACAUCAUCCUUGCCAGAACCUAUGGGCAGCGAUUGUGAACUUGGACAUCACCCGAGAGCCAGGCACAUGCUAACUGCCAAGCAAAGAAUCCAGCAGAUAAAAAAUGGAGGAAAUAAAUGUG